GGUCAAGUUAUUAAGGGUGCAGGGCGGAUGCCUUGGCACUAGGAGCCGAUGAAGGACGUGAUAAGCUGCGAUAAGCUUCGGGGAGUUGCACGUAAACUUUGAUCCGAAGAUUUCCGAAUGAGGAAACUCACUUAGAGUAAUGUCUAAGUAUCAUUAAGUGAAUACAUAGCUUAAUGAGGGGAACUCAGGGAACUGAAACAUCUAAGUACCUGAAGGAAGAGAAAGAAAUUCGAUUCCGUAAGUAGCGGCGAGCGAACGCGGAUUAGCCCAAACCAAUAAAGUUUUCUUUAUUGGGGUUGCGGACAUAUCAUAACGAAGAGGUAUCGUAAUUGAAGAGGUUUGGAAAGACCCACCACAGAAGGUAAUAGUCCUGUAUGUUAAACGAGAAGACUUUAGAUAUGAUCCAGAGUACCACGG
rnacentral:rRNA from 1 species